rnacentral:rRNA from 1 species
CGCGUAGGCGGGUAUCCGAGUCAGGGGUGAAAGCCCCCGGCCCAACCGGGGAAGUGCCUCUGAUACCGGGUGUCUCGAGGGAGGUAGGGGUCGCCGGAACUUCCGGUGGAGCGGUGAAAUGCGUAGAUAUCGGAAGGAACGCCGGUGGCGAAAGCGGGCGACUGGACCUCUUCUGACGCUGAGGCGCGAAAGCCAGGGGAGCGAACG